UGGCGCGGUUCUCUUUUGGGUCGAGCUUGUAGGUCUGCGGAGGCGGCGGCACCGGCGAUGGGCGGGGUCUCGGUAGCCCAUCUUGCUGGGUGAUGGGCUCGUGCUUCGCGGCUGGAUGAGGCGGAUACGAUCUGGACAGGAUAAGAUCUUUCUGAAGAAUUCACUAUGGUCCGAGAACGAAAAUGUAUAUUGUGCUGCAUUGUAUACAGCUCAAAAAAGGAGAUGGAUGAGCACAUGAGAAGUAUGCUUCAUCACCGGGAACUUGAAAACCUCAAGGGGAGGUAUGACUAUAACAGUGACCAUUUCAUCUUUCUUCACUUUAAUCCAGUACAACACAACUCUUAUGAUGUGAAAUAAAAUCUCUAUUAUAAUACUGCUGCAAUUAAAAUGUGUUUUAAAUUUUUUAAU